rnacentral:ncRNA from 1 species
CGAAAUAGUUUACUGUGUCACUCGUACCGAUAACCGCAUCAGGUCUUCUAGGUAAGUAGCCUAUGGCCAUUGAGGCAUGAUAGUUCAGGGAAUUCGGCCAAUUAGAGCUGUAACUUCGGGAUAAAGCUUGGCUCUGAUGAAAAUCAGAACCGAUUGUUACGCGGAGAGCCCAACUGUUUAAUAAAAACGUAGUGUCGCGCUGUGGUAGUAUAGCCAGUGAACGCGACAUGAAUCCUGCUCAGUGCUGUGUCUGUUAAUAUGGUUCAAGCCAACGAAGCACCGGUAAAUAGCUGGGGUAACUAUGACUCUUAUCAAAGUAGCGAAAUACCUCGUCACUUAAUUAGUGACCUGCAUGAACGGAGCUAUGAGGUUCUCACUGUCCCAAACUGUCUCUCAGCGAACCAACUGUAGUGGGAACGGUCACUAGAUAUCCAGCGGGGAAAGAAGACCCUGUAGAGCUUCACUUUGGUCUAGUCUUGUAUAGUUCCUGCGGGGGUGUAGACUAGGUGGGAGAGCAAUCGAUUCUGAAAAACCACUACCCUGUUUGGAAUUAUGCUUACCUAUCACAAGGAAUAGGACUAGAUAGAAAGUUUGGCUGGGGCGGCACACCUUCGAAAGAGCAGCGAAGGUGUCCUAAGUUGAGCUCAGUGAGGACAGAAAUCUCACGUUGAGGAUAAGGCCAAAAGCUCAAUUUACUGUGCCUUUUUGUACUAGGAUCAGUUACGAAAGUAAGGCCUAACGAUCCCUAAAUAGCCUCAGGUGCGUGAGGAUUGGGGUGACAGACAAGUUACCUCCGGGACAACUGGCUUGUGGCUGCUAAGAGAUCAAAUCAACGCAGCUUUUUGAUUCUUCGAUGUCGGCUCUUCCUAUCCUAGUGAUGUACAAGUUGCUAAGGGUCGGAUUGUUCACCCGUAUUAGGGAUCGUGAGC